rfam:Gossypium arboreum cultivar AKA8401 contig_230312_1, whole genome shotgun sequence.
ACGGCCUUUUUCAAGGCCACCACUUGUUACAACUUCAUGCAAU